CAUAUGCGUGGAAUUUGUUCCUUGAAUUACAGCCAAUCAUUUCAAUCGCUGCUACGCCUUGUGUGGUCUCGCGUUCAAGCUGUUCCCAGUCUUUCCCACCAAUGAUAUUCACAUCAGCACCCGAGUCUAUCAAAAAGCUUAUAGGACUGGAAGAUCCGACAGAGCAGUCUAUCAAGACGUCAUCUAAGGAUAGUGCAUUUACUUCCUGCGUUCAAUAAUAAUCAAGAAUAUGUGUAUCAGUAUGAAUUCAACUUUAUUAGAACAAAACAAAAGAUAAAGAAGUGAACAUCGUCAGGAAAAUCCCUCUCUUCUGGUGACUCUGUCAAGUUCGUUGAAUCCAUGCUGUCUUUGCUUCUUACUUCAUAUACAACCAGCAUAAAGCCGAUCGUCAAACUUUGAAUGCCGAAGGGUGAGGUGAACAAUGCAGUUCAAGUUUAAAUUUCAAACUUCACAGCAACAAACUAACGAUGGACGCACGAUUAAUCACACAGUUUGAUCGACCAUUCCCACAAAAAGAAGGAAUUUGUUAUAAACGAUCAAUGCCAAUGGAUGUCCAAGUGACGUAAUUUUCUUUUUUUCUCUCUCUUAAAAUGUGAAUACUGUUCAUCGCAUAGAUGCUUGGAGCCGUGCAAUGCCAUCAUCACUCCUCCUCACGUCCCGUGCCAGGUGCAUCAAAUUGUCUACCAAGAAAUUCGCACCAGUUUCUGUUGGCUUAUCUGGCAGCUUUGGAGUUGCAUCGGGACGGAAUGCACGCGCUCUACAUUUUGGGUGUUUACGCAACUUCAAACAUUACUGGGGGGUGAAGUAUGACAGUGUGGAAUGCCGGAAUUU